GACAUAGGAGGCAAGCGUUAUCCGGAUUUAUUGGGCGUAAAGAGCGUUGAGGCGGCCCUGUAAGUUGGACGUGAAAGCUCCCGGCUCAACCGGGAGAGGCCGUUCAAUACUGCAGGGCUUGAGGACAGCAGAGGGGGGUGGAAUUUCCGGUGUAGUGGUGAAAUGCGUAGAUACCGGAAGGAACACCAGUGGCGAAGGCGGCCCCCUGGGCUGAUCCUGACGCUGAAUGCGAAAGCUAGGGGAGCAAACGGGAUUAGAUACCCGCGUA
rnacentral:rRNA from 1 species